CGGAGGAUCCGAGCGUUAUCCGGAUUUAUUGGGUUUAAAGGGUGCGUAGGUGGUUUGAUAAGUCAGCGGUGAAAGUUUGCAGCUUAACUGUAAAAAUGCCGUUGAAACUGUGGUUCUUGAGUGAUGGAGAGGCAGGCGGAAUUCCGUGUGUAGCGGUGAAAUGCGUAGAUAUACGGAAGAACACCAGUGGCGAAGGCGACUUUCUGGACCGUAACUGACGCUGAGGCAUGAAAGCGUGGGGAGCAAACAG
rnacentral:rRNA from 1 species